GCGACGCGCGUCCCCAUUAUUGUGCGCGCCGCCGCGCCCUUCCAGGUGUCCUCGCGUACCUGGCGGCGGUGCCCGCGCCUCGGAGGCGGCCUGCGGGCUGGGGUGCGGGAGGCGCGCGCGUUCGCCCGGGGGUCGGGGCCCCUCCGCGGCUGCGCCCCCUCUGCCUUUCCCCGGGCGCCGAUCGCCGCCUUCCCGCCCCGGGUGGGGCCGCGGGCGGCAGCGUCCCGGGCUCUCGGCCGCUGCCUGGGAGCCAAAGAGUCAGAUUUAGUUUCACAACAAAGUCUCCUCGUCACUGCAACCCGACUGGAGGCCGAAGCGGCCGGACAGCCCGGGCAGGGGCCGGCGCGCCGCCACGGGGGCCGAAGGUGGGAAGAGAGCGCGCGAGGGGACGGUGGCCGGAGACAGGGUCCCGGCGGCUGGACUUACUCGUGACACAACUGCGGCGACGAGGGGCUGAGGAACCGGUUCUUCCAAAAACAAACCGAAAAUGGGAGGAUGAAGAUCCCACCCACUAGCUAAGAUCCACUUCGGAGCAUCAGUGGCAGAAGACCAGACCACAUGGGAACAGCCAAGAGUCAAGCCAACUCUUCAGGUGUGAGUUAGAAAUUUUCUUAUGUGCAGGAAUCAUUUAAAGAAACUUUUACUAGAUCAAUCAUUUUUUCCCUCAGUACUGGUCUUUUUUCACUUAGCUAAAUCACUUAAUACUGUUAGCAUCAUGUUAAGUCCUUCAGUGUAGAAUGUGUCUGGCCAGGGAACAUGAAUGGAAGGCACUAGAAUAAUAAUACCAAGAAAAAUUAUGCACAAGACUGAUUCCUACGCUCUAGGGCCUUUAUAUUAUAAAAAGUACAUGUGAGUUUCAGUCUAGUGAAAUAUCCUGUGAUCUGAAAGUUAAUUUCUAUGCCUAUUGCUCCUCUAAAAAACAGUAUGAGGUAAACCAGGGAGAAAUUUACUCACUAGACAAGAACUUAUUACGUGAGCCAUAAAUUUUGACUUUUACAUUCAAUUUCUUGUUACAUUAGGACUGAUUUUCUAAUCCAUUUAUUUUUGACUAACAUUAGCAAAUACAUUUCCCCCUACCAAGACUUCCAAAGAACAUCAUCAAAUUCUUUAAUCCUACCAGGCAUUUUGGAGGUAUCUAGUGAGAGGAUGCUUUAUGCACUUAUAGCUUAGGAAACCAAGUGUGGGAUACAACACAAGGGUUCUUGGCCCGCUUUCUGCUAAAGCAAAGACUUAAAGUUAAUUUUCGAGUGGUGUUUUACCCAUGUCCUGUGUCUCGUAAAUAACUACUAUGGUAAACUUCAUUG
rnacentral:lncRNA from 1 species